UUAUUAUAUUUUUCAUUGCAUGUCAAAUGCCAAAAAGGCAGAUUGCAAGUAGGUUGCAAAAAAAAACUAUGUUUUCCCAAUAUUAUAUAUCAGCUAUCAUUUGAAAGAUUAUUAAUGAUAUAUUUAUAAUGAUAAUACAAAAUGCAGGCAAGUAAAUGCAGUUUUACAAAAUGAUACAAUGUUAUCAAAGAAUGUUAGUUAGUUAUGAAAAGCAAAUAGACGCAUUCUCAAAGUCUUGUGUCGCCAUGAUAAUUUAAAUUAUCCUUACAAAGCUCGAAUCGAAGCUCCAAUCCUUCUCCUACAUGGAGAAAGAGGCUUAUGCCAGCAGUGGGAUAUUACAGGCGGAAUUUUAUAAAGAUUACCUGGAAGGAAUUUAGAAAAGAUAUUGACUAUAUUUAAAAAUUACAUCCUGGUAUGUGGUAGAUUGUCACUAAAUAUAUAUUCCUAAGGUGGCUAUGGUGGUUCUUGAUAUUAUAUUUAUUAGUGAGUUAUCAGUAACACUUACUGAUCAUUGGUACAAUAUAUAUAUAUAUAUAUAUAUAUAUAUAUAUCUACAAAAUAUUAUUGUUUUGCAAUAGAAUAAAACUUAAAGGCUAUUAUUAGAAUAACGAAUGUACGCGUUGAACAAUAAAACUAUCUUCCUGUAAAUGUGUGAUGUGUGAUAAACGUUAACGAAAUUAAAACGUUUCUGUAUAUUAUGCACAUGUGUGACUUUUUUGUUAUAUGUCUAUCAGCGAAAUUAUAACUUGAUUUAUAAGCAAUACGGUCGCUUUUUGUGUAGCCUAAUAUAUUUUAACUGCCAAUGCCUAAAUUCAUUACGGUAAUGUGUUCAGUCAAUGUCAUCGAUGUUAGUACUGGUAUGGUAUUGACCCUUAGUACUACAAAAUGUAUUCACUAACUUGUGUCUUUACCGUAUCAGACACGUCGCAGUGGACUGGUUCCUAUAUCCAAAAACGAUUCGUUAAGUUUAACUUACGGUUUUUUUACUUUAAUUUACGAUUCGUUAACUGUACCUUACGUUACGGUAACUUUCUAUUUUGUGACCAAAACGAAUCGUUUUUCAAUACAGAAACGUGGCUUAAGAUUGGCAAUGAUUGAAUACGCUUAGAUCUUCUAAGAAGUAUUUUUGUAAAAUCGUUAGUUGAAAAUUGUAAUACUGUAAUUAGAAAUGUAAUGUAAAAGACAUGCACCUCAUAAAAAUAUAAAACGCUAGUGCACGAUCAUAUAUAAAAUAUAAAAACUCACGUUUAUUUUAUUACUAAUACCUAAGAGACUAAAUAGUAAAAAAUAAAUUUUAAUUUUUAUAUAAAUUUUAGCUUGAAUUAGAUUGUUAUUCAAUGAUCCUUAUUAAUUAAAUUUAUGUUUAAACAAAUAUUGACGUUAUUCAGGACCUGUUUCACUAGUUGUGGAUUAAAUUUAACCUGCGAAUAAGUUUCGAUUAAACUAUAACAGUAGGAGGCAGAAUAGACAAUUAGGGCCUGUUUCACCUCAAUUAAUAAACUACAGCUUUCAGAUUCAUUUUUGCGAAUAGAAAUAUAAAUACAGUGGGAUUCGAUGGUGAAAAAUAAUAAUACAUCAAAAACUUUCUAUUGGAUAUCAUCAUUCGUCAAAUAUCGUUAUCCACAAAUGGUGAAACAGGCCCUCAGUCUUUCAGAAAUAAGUCAUUAAUAUACCUACCUACAUGUUAAGAUCUAGCAGGCAGCUGUAUCACUAAUAUGGCUGCCAAAGUUGACUUAUUCUCUUUUUUUUUUUUUUUUUUGAAUUAUGAUACUUGAAGUGUUGUAAAAUAUUAUGUUAAAAGGGGUGAAUACAUUUAUUAUUAUAUAUAUACUUUAUUGCACUAAAAAUAAUGUACAGAAAAAUUAUACAAAAAGUUGAUGGCAAAGAUGGACUUAUCUCUAGAAGAGAUCUCUUCCAGUCAACCAAUGUUCAUGAGAGAGAGUGUCAUAUAGCGGGGAACACAGUGCAAGAAUUAAUAAAAUAUAGAAAUAUAGAAAGAAUAAUUAUUAUUAUUUAUCUAAAAGUAAAUGAAUUGCUUUUCUUUAGUUUUGUAAAAGUGACACAAUAAUAUCAUUUCUUUUAAUCAAUAGAUAUCGAAUCUUUUUUUUUUUUUGAAAUGACGUGAGUAAAUUAUAACACCAAAAUAUAUCUUAUUCUGUAUUCUUUAGCUGCACGCCUUUGUAAGUGACUAGUGUAGGCGUAAACUUGGCUUUAUGCUAGAGGUAUUUUUAACAUUGUGAUAUACGAUAUUUCGUUGCUUUACUUGUUGAUUUGUUUAUUAAAUAUAUCUUUAUAUUCAAUGUUGAGUUUUAUUUUUGUCCAAUGAAAUGUUACGAACCAAAAAUUACCUUGUUACAGUAGGCUUCGAAAACACUGUUGAAUGUUCUUAGUACAAUUGUUUUUGCUAGCAAACGAAAAAAAAACCGA
rnacentral:misc_RNA from 1 species